rnacentral:rRNA from 1 species
ACUCCUACGGGAGGCAGCAGUGGGGAAUAUUGCACAAUGGGCGCAAGCCUGAUGCAGCCAUGCCGCGUGUGUGAAGAAGGCCUUCGGGUUGUAAAGCACUUUCAGUCGUGAGGAAGGUAGUGUAGUUAAUAGCUGCAUUAUUUGACGUUAGCGACAGAAGAAGCACCGGCUAACUCCGUGCCAGCAGCCGCGGUAAUACGGAGGGUGCGAGCGUUAAUCGGAAUUACUGGGCGUAAAGCGCAUGCAGGUGGUUUGUUAAGUCAGAUGUGAAAGCCCGGGGCUCAACCUCGGAAUUGCAUUUGAAACUGGCAGACUAGAGUACUGUAGAGGGGGGUAGAAUUUCAGGUGUAGCGGUGAAAUGCGUAGAGAUCUGAAGGAAUACCGGUGGCGAAGGCGGCCCCCUGGACAAAGACUGACGCUCAGAUGCGAAAGCUGGGGGAGCAAACAGGAUUAGAUA